UUAAAGAAAGAACGAACACCAGCGUGAAACUGAAAAAGAACGUCGAGCGCUCGCGAAAAAAAAAAGAAAAAAAAAUACCUGCUUUUGUGGUAUGCAAUUAAUCGCAAUUCGAGUGCAGUAGAGUAAGUGCUUCGCGAAAGCAAUCGCAGAUGGGUUCAGUUGAGUUGCGUGGAGGAGGAGGGAGGCGAGAGGCAAGAAUGAUGCGCAGCCCGUUCGUUUUCAUUUUGGUUUCGUUCGGUCCGUGAGCUCAUUGCACAAAAGCAAUAAAUGACUUCAAGUGCUCACACAUACUGUCGGAGCGAGAGCAACAAAAAAAAUGCAUACACACAAUUGUGGCCUGGUGCAUACUAUGUGCAUAUUUGUCAAAUGAAAAAAAAAAUGUUAUUCGCCGUUCGCCCAGGAGAUAGUGUUUAAGUGAAAAGUGCAAAGUGUAGUGCAAAAAAAAAUAAAUAUUAAAUCCAAUAAUAAAAAAAAAA